ensembl:lncRNA
UGAGAUCCAGAGUUUUACUUUAUUAGACAUCUGUGAAGACAAGAGAGUUUGCAGAUAUGAUCCUGUCCAGUUGUGAACUGCUGCAAAGUUCUGUGAUGUUUGGAUUUAUCUUGUAGUGAACAAGACUCCCAGUGGCAGAGAUUUUAAAAUAUCGUUCUAUAUUCCAAGCAAAUGAGAGGUGUUAGUGACAUUAUGGCCAACAACUUUUAUACUAGUCAUCCACUUAAGCCGUUCCCCAGCAUACAUAUGCAGCUUAAUCACAGCGAUUACAUCUCUACAUGUGAAAUUCGAUCUUCACCUAAUAAUGCAUUUUUACUCCUGUUUAUAUUGGUGCAUGCGAUUCACUGCUACCCUGGCAAUUAACCAGAUCUGGACUCUAAAAGCUAAACUUGGUCUAAAUAACAUUCUAAGGGUGGGGCAGGCUCUGUAAUCUACACUUAUCUUAGCCAACACUGCAAAAUCACUCCUGUGGCUCCUCCUCUUCCUAUCAUGUCUGUCUGUAACCUGUCACUUGGCAUGUAUUAAUACCUGCUGAAUACUCAAAAGGCAGACACAAAGGAAACCAGUAGUCCUGCUUCCAAGAAAGGCAACUAUCAGAUAAUAUACCAAGGGCAACUGAGUAACUGGUCAGGACCACAGGCCUUCUAGAAACUUUCUAAGAUUAGGAAUAUGACCAAGUAUACUCAUCCAGUGCUCUUAUUCUAGAGUAUUUCAGUGAGGGAAAGGGAUGGAUUUAAGGAUUUUGUUUAAGGAGUUUGACUCCUUAAGGGGCUACAUCUUUGGGGCCAGAAGAAAAUCCAGAAAACUAUCACCCCUGCCUAUCAUCAGUUUGCCAACACUGCAGAUUUCUAUAAGGUCAUUUAAGAGAAAUAGCAGACAAAGAAUUACCCUUAAUGCAUUACAGGAAGCGUGUUACACUAGCAGGGAAAGAGGGGCUUGACUCUAUUACUCAACUUACACUCAACCCAACAGAAAACCUUGGUUUAUGUACCUCUUGGUUCCUCCCUUUGACCCUGGGGUACACAGCGGACCAAAGUUAGUCCUUAGAGUGACUGCUUUGCCCCACGAGAAGAGCUCAACAACCCCACCAGACGCAAAGAGUUUUCAUAAGUUUUUCCGCACAGUCACAUUGCUUACAGAACCGGAAUGUUCAGCUCUCAAAGUCUGGACAGGAGAAUUGGUACAUUAUUAUAUGUUCCUUUAACCAUAACCUGCGACUCUUUGGGAAGGAUGCACUAUGGAAAGGUCCAGUGAAGCUGUUGAUCCGUGUGUUCAGAGUAUUCUGAUCCUAGGUGCUUCUGACUAUUGCUCAGCUUGUGUACACAGUCCAUCGCUUAUUAUCAGCCCAAACUGAUGAUUAGUGAGAGCAAUUUAGAAAUGAAACUGGAAGAUUAAGGGUAGCAAUAUCAGCAACAAAAAUUAAAAAGCAUUUUCCUUUUUUUAAACAAAAGCACACUGUAGAAAUAAAGAUUCUGUACAAGAUUCUACUAUUGUAUGUACCUAAAAUUAUAUUACUCAUAACUAAGUUGAAACGUUUUAUUUCUAGACUAUGGCUAGCAACACCAAACAGGGACUCAUGACAUUGAGCUUUUGAAGCACAGCGGGCAGCAGGGGACCCCUAGCAAAUACGCCUUGGUGCCUGAAUGCACAAUCCCACAGCUCAGUUGCAGAAUUCAUAUUCCCUAGUUCUGUAUUUUGUUCAUGAUUCACAUUCUAGCAGAAAAUUCUGCAGCAGGCAAUGUGAAAAAGAAGACACAUUGAAAUGAGAUUUGAAAUGCUAUUUAAAAUCUGCAUAUUGGCUAGGAUAAUGGGUUUGUGAAUCCAACUUGCAUUUGAAGUUCGUUUUCUCAUUCCCUACUCAUUUAUUAUGCAUGCCUCCAGUGACUGCAAAUCGGAAUGAAUUCCAGCAGGUGGAGAAGACAGCUUUGAACAGAUCGGAUGGAUUGAGUCAGAUUCUUGAUUCUUUAUCCUCAGUUGGCUCCUAAAUGUUGGAGGAAACGGGCUUUGUGCAGUGGAGAAGGAGAUAAUGUAGUCAACACUUCUUCAGGCAUCCCUGUUCUCCAGGUUCCUUUCCUACCAU